rnacentral:rRNA from 1 species
AUAGAACGCUGGCGGCAGGCCUAACACAUGCAAGUCGAGCGGAUGAGGGUAGCUUGCUAUCUGAUUCAGCGGCGGACGGGUGAGUAAUGCCUAGGAAUCUGCCUGGUAGUGGGGGACAACGUUUCGAAAGGAACGCUAAUACCGCAUACGUCCUACGGGAGAAAGUGGGGGAUCUUCGGACCUCACGCUAUCAGAUGAGCCUAGGUACGAUUAGCUAGUUGGUGAGGUAAAGGAUGACCAAGGCGACGAUCGUUAACUGGUCUGAGAGGAUGAUCAGUCACACUGGAACUGAGACACGGUCCAGACUCCUACGGGAGGCAGCAGUGGGGAAUAUUGGACAAUGGGCGAAAGCCUGAUCCAGCCAUGCCGCGUGUGUGAAGAAGGUCUUCGGAUUGUAAAGCACUUUAAGUUGGGAGGAAGGGCAGUAAGUUAAUACCUUGCUGUUUUGACGUUACCAACAGAAUAAGCACCGGCUAACUUCGUGCCAGCCGCCGCAGUAAAAC